rnacentral:misc_RNA from 1 species
GAUGAAGAACGCAGUGAAAUGCGAUAAGUAAUGUGAAUUGCAGAAUUCAGUGAAUCAUCGAAUCUUUGAACGCACAUUGCGCCCCCUGGUAUUCCGGGGGGCAUGCCUGUCCGAGCGUCAUUACAACCCUCAAGCUCAGCUUGGUGUUGGGCCCCGCCGCCCCGGCGGGCCCUAAAGUCAGUGGCGGUGCCGUCCGGCUCCGAGCGUAGUAAUUCUUCUCGCUCUGGAGGUCCGGUCGUGUGCUCGCCAGCAACCCCAAUUUUUUUCAGGUUGACCUCGGAUCAGGUAGGGAUACCCGCUGAACUUAAGCAUAUCAAUAAGCGGAGGA